GAUGAACGCUGGCGGCGUGCUUAACACAUGCAAGUCGAACGGGAACAUUUCAUUGGGGCUUCGGCGGAUUUGGUCUGUUUCUAGUGGCGGACGGGUGAGUAACGCGUGGGUAACCUGCCUUAUACUGGGGGAUAACAGCCAGAAAUGACUGUUAAUACCGCAUAAGCGCACGGGGCCGCAUGGUCCUGUGUGAAAAACUCCGGUGGUAUAAGAUGGACCCGCGUCUGAUUAGAUAGUUGGUGAGGUAACGGCCCACCAAGUCAACGAUCAGUAGCCGGCCUGAGAGGGCGAACGGCCACAUUGGGACUGAGACACGGCCCAAAUCCUACGGGAGGCAGCAGUGGGGAAUAUUGCACAAUGGGGGAAACCCUGAUGCAGCGAGCCGCGUGAGUGAAGAAGUAUUUCGGUAUGUAAAGCUCUAUCAGCAGGGAGAAAGCAUGACGGUACCUGACUAAGAAG
rnacentral:rRNA from 1 species